CCUACGGGAGGCUACAGUGAGGAAUAUUGGUCAAUGGCCGAGAGGCUGAACCAGCCAAGUCGCGUGAGGGAAGACGGCCCUACGGGCUGUAAACCUCUUUUGUCGGGGAGCAAAGCGAACCACGUGUGUUUCAUUUAGAGUACCCGAAGAAAAAGCAUCGGCUAACACCGUGCCAGCAGCCGCGGUAAUACGGAGGAUGCGAGCGUUAUCCGGAUUUAUUGGGUUUAAAGGGAGCGUAGAUGGGUUGUUAAGUCAGUUGUGAAAGUUUGCGGCUCAACCGUAAAAUUGCAAUUGAUACUGGCAGUCUUGAGUACAGAUGAGGUAGGCGGAAUUCGUGGUGUAGCGGUGAAAUGCUUAGAUAUCACGAAGAACCCCGAUUGCGAAGGCAGCUUACUAAACUGUGACUGACAUUGAUGCUCGAAAGUGUGGGUAUCAAACAGGAUUAGAUACCCCUGUAGUC
rnacentral:rRNA from 1 species